CCUACGGGAGGCAGCAGUGGGGAAUAUUGCACAAUGGGGGAAACCCUGAUGCAGCGACGCCGCGUGAGUGAAGAAGCGUUUCGGCGCGUAAAGCUCUGUCAGCGGGGAAGAAACACGGUUCGCGAGAGCCGCGGACGGUACCCGACCAAGAAGCCCCGGCUAACUACGUGCCAGCAGCCGCGGUAAUACGGAGGGGGCAAGCGUUAUCCGGAUUCACUGGGGGUAAAGGGGGCGUAGACGGCGAGACAAGUCUGGAGUGAAAGGCCGGGGCCCAACCCCGGGACGGCUCAGGAAACGGCCUGGAGGGAGUACAGGAGAGGUAAGUGGAAUUCCUAGUGUAGCGGUGCAAUGCGUAGAUAUUAGGCGGAACACCAGUGGCGAAGGCGGCUUACUGGACUGUAACUGACGUUGAGGCUCGAAAGCGUGGGGAGCAAACAGGAUUAGAUACCCCUGUAGUC
rnacentral:rRNA from 1 species